CAGCCACCCGGGUCCUGUCCCUGUCCUGUCCCCAGGGGUCAUCCUGACCCGAAAGCGCGGCUCGGCUGGAGAUAAGCGGGCCGGCUGGCGGGGCGCCCGCGGGUUCUGGGAACGUCCCUCCUCCUGCUCGCCUGCCGGAUCCCCGGGGCCAGCCGGGCUGUAGCCACCCUGCACCCCCAGCACCCCGGCCAGAGACUUUAAACCCAGCCCUGUCUCAGCGCCGGACACUCGCAACGCCCCCGGCAGCACCAUGAGCCCAGGGGUUUGCCUCCUCCUGGGCCUCCUCAUCCUCGGGGCAGAGCCAGGCACUGCACCAGGGGAGGAAGGAGCCAAGGAAGGCGUGUGCCCGGGGGGGGCCGCGGGGGAGGCCCUGCACGUGUUCUGCCUGGCGGACGAGUCCUGCCCCGGGGCCGAGAAGUGCUGCCACGACGGGGACGUGAGAGCCUGCACCAUCCCCAGCAAAGUGCACCCCGGGUACUGCCCGGGGCGAGGGGCAGCGGGGGCGGCCCUGUGCCGCCAGAGCUGUGCCGACGACAGCGGGUGCGGAGCUGGCGAGAAGUGCUGCACCGUGGGCUGCCACCGGCGGUGCGCCGCAGCGCUGCCAGCCCACCCUGGCGUCUGCCCCCGGCUCCCGGCCGGGCCCCUCCGUGCGCCGUGUCCCAACGCCUGCAGCGAUGACAGAGGGUGCCCGCAGGACCAGAAAUGCUGCUUCACCGGCUGCGGCCUCGGCUGCGUGACGCCGCUGGGGAACGGCAGCAGCGACUUCCCCCCCCCCGGGGAGGUGGACUGGAGCCUCAGCCAGGCGGAGGAGACGCACGGGGGGGAGCCACAGAAGCCGGGGACGUGCCCCCGGGACUUCACGCGCUGCCUCCGCCUGGAGCCCCCCCUCUGCACCAACGACUCGGUGUGCCCCGGCUGGCACAAGUGCUGUCCCCGUGAGUGCCGGCUCCGCUGCACCCCUCCUGCAGAAGAGAAACCCGGCACCUGCCCCACGGCAGCCCCGGAGGGGCUCUUUUACCCCUGCUCCUUCCAGUGCCUGGAGGACAAGGACUGCCUGGGCAGCAAGAAGUGCUGCCCGCUGGGCUGCGGCCCGGCCUGCCUGGAGCCGCUGCAGGGUGAGGCCUCCUGCGGGGCCAGCCGGAGCCGUGUGCCGCGCCAGAGCCCCGGCUCCCCGCGGCGCGGCUCAGGGCACGGUGCCGCAGACACCUGCCACCUCCCCGCCGCGCCGGGACCCUGCGGCGGCCGCGAGCUCCGCUUCUUCUACAACGUCACCUCCGGGCGGUGCGAGACGUUCCCCUACGGCGGCUGCGAGGGCAACCCCAACAACUUCGGGACGCGGGCAGCGUGCCACCGGGCGUGCGUGGGCCACGACAAACCCAAACCCGGGGAGUGCCCGGCGGUGCUGCCGGAGCUGGCGGGGCCGUGCCGGGAGGAGUGCGAAGGUGACAGCGACUGCCCCAGCUCACAGAAGUGCUGCAACAGCAGCUGCGGCCACCAGUGCCUGCCUGCAGCCCCGGCCACCCUGAGCCCUGUGCCUCGCGGGGCCCCUGCGGCUGUGCCAGGCUGGCAGGAGGGGACAAGGUGCUGGAGUGACAGGGACUGCAGCGGCAGGGACACGUGCUGCCGUGGCUGGUGCAUGCAGGGGUGCGGUGCAGAGGGCACAGGGAAGGCCGGCUUCUGCCCAGCCAGCGCGGGGCUGUUCCCCAGCUACGACUGCAGAGAAUGGUGCCAGCGAGACGCCGACUGCCCCGGCACGGAGAAGUGCUGCCUGCGCGGCUGUGACUACGUGUGCCUGCGCCCGGCCCAAGAGAAACCGGGGAUCUGCCCCCUGACCGAGGCGGCACCGCGGACCAGGGCCCCGUGCCAGGCCUCCUGUGCAGAAGACUGGCAGUGCCCAGGGGACGAGAAGUGCUGCAGCAGCAGCCGAUGUGGCCGGGUCUGCCUGGCUCCAGAACGAGACAAACCUGGCCAGUGCCCAAAGGUGAGGCCACGGCAGACAUCGGAGCUGUGCACGGAGGAGGACGCCUGUGGCCACGACAGGGACUGUCCCCGGCAGGAGAAGUGCUGCUUCUCCGGCUGCGCCAUGCGCUGCAAGCGCCCUGCCAGGGGUAACCGCGAGCAGCCGGGCCCCAGCUCCGCGCCGGGCACGGGGCACGGGGCACCGGGCACAGGGCACAGGGCACAGGGCACAAGGCACCGGGCACGGGGCACAGGACAUUGGGGACAGGGCACAAGGCAUUGGGCACAGGGCACAGGGCAGCAGCAUGACCAACGCUGGAUCUGGGGGGACUGCCCUCACCCUGCCCCCCCUCCCGCAGAGCACCCCGGGGAGUGCCCCCGGGCAGAGCCGUGCUGGGACCCACGGCGCAGGCGCGGGAGCCAGUGCCUGGACGACAGCGCCUGCCAGCGGGACGAGAAGUGCUGCAGCACGGGCUGCGCCUGGGCGUGCGUGGCCGUGGCCGUGCCCGGAGAGAGCCAGGACAGAGCCCCCGGGCAGUGCAUGGAGGAGUGUGACACCGACGUGCAGUGCCCCCAGGGACAGAGGUGCACCAGCACCGGCUGCGGCCGUGUCUGCAGGGACAUCCCUGGAGGGAGGGUGGGAGUGUGCCCCAUCCCCAGGGACGGCGGGACGUGCUCGGACCUGUGCAGCUUCGACGAGGAGUGUCCCUGGGGCCAGAAGUGCUGCAGCAACGGUUGCGGCCACGUCUGCACGCCUGCCUCUCUCGAAGAGCGCGACGUGGCCGUGGUGCCACAGCACGACGGACGGUGCACGGAGGAGUGUGACGCCGACUCGCAGUGCCCCCGGGGACAGAGGUGCACCCGCGCCAGCUGUGGCCGUGUCUGCAGGGACAUCCCCGGAGGUGAGAUACAGCCGUGGCCCAGCCCUGCCCCGGGAGCCACAGGGUGCUCCGUGGCGGGGUGCCCCACACGUGAGGGGUGCCCCACGGUGGGCGCUCUGCCUUGCAGGGAGGGUGGGAGCGUGCCCCAUCCCCAGGGACGGCGGGACGUGCUCGGACCUGUGCAGCUUUGACGAGGAGUGUCCCUGGGGCCAGAAGUGCUGCAGCAACGGCUGCGGCCACGUCUGCACGCGGGUUCCUAACGAUGCUGCGUGACGGGAGAGCAGCAGCUCUGUGGCAGGAAGGUGCCGUCGUUCCGGGACACUGGGUGGUCAUGGCCCCAAACUGGCCUGUCCCCUUCUUCCCGCUGCCAGCAAUAAAGCACGUGCUCGCCGUC